rnacentral:misc_RNA from 1 species
GAUGAAGAACGCAGUGAAAUGCGAUAAGUAAUGUGAAUUGCAGAAUCCCGUGAACCAUCGAGUCUUUGAACGCAAGUUGCGCCCGAAGCCAUUAGGCCGAGGGCACGCCUGCCUGGGUGUCACACACCGUUACCCUCGCGCCAACGUCCAUCGUUGGCCGCGGCGCGGGGCGUGCGCUGACCUCCCGCGAGCGGGGUCUCGUGGUUGGUUGAAAAUCGAGUUCGCGGUCGAGGGUGCCGUGAUGAAAUGGUGGAUGGGCGACGCCCGAGGCCAAUCACGCGCGACUCUGUCCGGCUCGGACUCCUGGACCCCUUCGGCGUCUCCGGACGCUCUUUGGCGAGACCUCAGGUCAGGCGGGGCUACCCGCUGAGUUUAAGCAUAUCAAUAAGCGGAGGA